rnacentral:misc_RNA from 1 species
UAAUUUAAUAAAACCUGCAUGUUAAAACAGACCAAGCAUAAUGGUCUUAGCAUCAGAAAUAGAAAGAAAUCUUUGGGAUGAGUGACAGAUUGUAAAUUAUAAACAUUGCCUGAAGAUCAACGUUAAUGAUGCUCCAUCCAAAAGAAACUGUCAUGCUAUACCUUAAAAUCCCAAUCUUUCUGUAAGUAGCUCCUAAUAUCAGAUCAAGUGUAGAGAUGACAAAUGGAGCAGUAAAUUUGAAUAAUUCAGGCACAGUUUGCAGACCUAUCAAAGGAAUCCAUUGCCUAUAUCUUUUGUUCUAGGCCCAUACACAUAUAGGCAAAACAUUAGACUGACUAAUUUAGAGUGAGACACUUGUUAUAUAGCCACAACUUAACUUCCAUUUCGUAAAAUGAAUUAUCAACAACACUCAAAAACAAAAUUACUUCUUUGUGAAAAUUAUUUAUCAUCUCAGAUCUCUCUGCUUCUCAAAUUAGUCAAGAACAAUUAAAAUUUCGCCAGGCUUGAGUAGAGAAGAGUUCAUCCUUGAGUGAGACUCUAACUCUCACUUCAAUCAUAAGACAAAUUAAGGUUAACCAUAUUGCUGACAAAGACAAGUUGAUACUUGCAGACAUAAUCCAUACCAUCAUGA